GACGAACGCUGGCGGCGUGCUUAACACAUGCAAGUCGAACGGAAAGGCCUGCUUUCCCUUGUGGAUUGCGGGUACUCGAGUGGCGAACGGGUGAGUAACACGUGAGUGAUCUGCCCCCAACUUGGGUAUAAGCCUGGGAAACUGGGUCUAAUUCCCGAUAGGACUGCAGGGUGGUGCCUGUGGUGGAAAACGAUUUUCUAGUGGUUGGGGAUGAGCUCACGGCCUAUCAGCUUGUUGGUGGGGUAAUGGCCUACCAAGGCGGCGACGGGUAGCCGGCCUGAGAGGGUGGACGGCCACAUUGGGACUGAGAUACGGCACAGACUCCUACGGGAGGCAGCAGUGGGGAAUAUAGCACAAUGUGCGGAAGCCUGAUGCAGCGACGCAGCGUGGGGGAUGACGGCCUGCGGGUGGUAAACUCCUUUCGACCGCGAGGAAGCCACCUGGUUGGAAGGGUGGUGACGGUAGUGGUAGAAGAAGCACCGGCUAACUACGUG
rnacentral:rRNA from 1 species